GACGAACGCUGGCGGCGUGCUUAACACAUGCAAGUCGAACGGAAAGGCCCUGCUUUUGUGGGGUGCUCGAGUGGCGAACGGGUGAGUAACACGUGAGUAACCUGCCCUUGACUUUGGGAUAACUUCAGGAAACUGGGGCUAAUACCGGAUAGGAGCUCCUGCUGCAUGGGGGGGGUUGGAAAGUUUCGGCGGUUGGGGAUGGACUCGCGGCUUAUCAGCUUGUUGGUGGGGUGGUGGCUUACCAAGGCUUUGACGGGUAGCCGGCCUGAGAGGGUGACCGGCCACAUUGGGACUGAGAUACGGCCCAGACUCCUACGGGAGGCAGCAGUGGGGAAUAUUGCACAAUGGGCGGAAGCCUGAUGCAGCAACGCCGCGUGCGGGAUGACGGCCUUCGGGUUGUAAACCGCUUUCGCCUGUGACGAAGCGUGAGUGACGGUAAUGGGUAAAGAAGCACCGGCUAACUACGUG
rnacentral:rRNA from 1 species